UCUCAAGCGAUCCUCCUGCCUCAGUCUCCUGAGUAACUUUGAAAUGAGACCCUUGUCAUUCUUAGAGUCCUUUGUUGAAUGGAAGAAGAAAUGGAAUAAUGCCGUAUCCACCUGAUGGGGACAUCACCUCCUACCUGGAUGGUCAGAGGACUCCUAUCCAUCCCACUGUUCCUUCUGGUUUGGGGCCCAGAGUCUUCCACCAAAGCCUGAACAUGCUUCUACUCCCAGGGCCUCCACAUUCCACGGAUGGCUGAUGGAGAAGAAUCCCAGGUCAUCUGUGGACACCUCUCCUUCUGUAUCCCCAGAACAUGAUGUGCACAGGUGCAUAAAGGAAAUUUAAAUUUUAUGCCCAGGGGCUCCCACUCUCACCCUCCUGAGCAGAAGCUGGGGAUCCUCUGAGCUGCUGUCCCUGAUGUUAGAGAGCCCUUAUCCCUGAGACCAAUGCCAGUCAUCAAAUACAUCUCAUAGGAUGUCUGCACAAAAUCAGCUGCCCCAAGCCCCUUGCCUCCCUCCUCCUGGCUUCUCUGAUGCAUCCCCCACAGGAAUGAGCUCCAAAUUUCUCUCUUCUGCAUCCAAAAGUCCAGUGAGGAGUGUGGAUGCGUGUAAUGUGGCCCCUUCAUCACAUCCACCCCGUGCGUUCCUACCUUAUCCAGUGUCCCCAACCCCAAAAAACAGAAGGACCAUCCAAGGAGGACCAGCUUCAGGCCCAGAGACUCAGAUUCCUAGUCAGCAUCCUUCAGGUACCUCACUCAUCAAGCUCCUCUUUCCAUAAGGCUUCAAAGAUACGACUUGCCCACAAACACACUCCUACCCACUAACCUCUAAACUAACUCCAUCUUUAAUUCUUGUGGACACCCACCCAAUAUCAACUCCAUCCUCAAAGCUGUCAAUAAGAUCCAAUGAAG
rnacentral:lncRNA from 1 species